GAUAAACGCUGGCGGCGUGCCUAAUACAUGCAAGUCGAGCGAAAAGACGCGGCGCUUGCUCCUCUGAUGUUAGCGGCGGACGUGUGAGUAACACGUGGAUAACCCCCUUAUAAUACUGGGAUAACUUCGGGAAUCCGGAGCUAAUACCGGAUAACAUGUUGAACCGCAUGGUUCAACAGUGAAAUUCGGUCUUGCUGUCACUUCUAGAUGGAUCCGGGCUGCAUUAGCUAGUUGGUAAGGUAACGGCUUAUCAAGGCAACGAUGCCUAGCCGACCUGCGAGUGGGAUCGGCCACCGUGGAGCUGACACGCGGUCUAGACGCCGACGGGAGGCAGCAGUAGGGAAGCGUCCGAGAAGGGCGAAAGCCUGAAGGAUCAACGCCGCGGGAGUGAAGAAGGUCUGCGUAUCGUAAAACGCUGUUAUUAGGGAAGAACAAAUGUGUAAGUAACUAUGCACGAGUGGACGGUACCUAAACAGAAAGCCACGGCAAACUACGU
rnacentral:rRNA from 1 species